AAUAUGAAAACACAACACUUUAGUUAUUAUCAGUAGUGUUUUUCUCCUAUUAAUAGGAAGCAACUCUCAAUUGGUUGACCCAAAAGUGAUCAGAGAGAUCUAGAAGAAACUGAACAUAUUUAGAGCUGGUGACUGCUCACACGGACCAAAAGUUACAGCUAAAGGAAAAUGUGCAGGAAAAGGGUUAACAAUUUUGCAGGUAGUUAAAUUUCCACUAACAUUACCUUGA